GAGGAUUUAGUUCAGAGUGCUAGAACGCAUGCUUAGCAUGCACGAGGUCCUGGGUUCAAUCCCCAGUACCUCCU
rnacentral:tRNA from 1 species